UACGGAGGAUGCAAGCGUUAUCCGGAAUGAUUGGGCGUAAAGCGUCCGCAGGUGGCUGUGUAAGUCUGCUGUCAAAGAGCAAAGCUCAACUUUGUAAAGGCAGUGGAAACUACACGGCUAGAGUGCGUUCGGGGCGAGAGGGAAGUUCCUGGUGUAGCGGUGAAAUGCGUAGAGAUCAGGAAGAACACCGGUGGCGAAGGCGCUCUGCUAGGCCGCAACUGACACUGAGGGACGAAAGCUAGGGGAGCGAAUGGG
rnacentral:rRNA from 1 species